rnacentral:piRNA from 1 species
CAGACAAGAUGGACCAAGUGGGU